rnacentral:rRNA from 1 species
CGCAUUAAAUAGACCGCCUGGGGAGUACGGCCGCAAGGUUAAAACUCAAAUGAAUUGACGGGGGCCCGCACAAGCGGUGGAGCAUGUGGUUUAAUUCGAUGCAACGCGAAGAACCUUACCAUCCCUUGACAUCCAGAGAAUCACCUAGAGAUGCAUGAGUGCCUUCGGGAGCUCUGAGACAGGUGCUGCAUGGCUGUCGUCAGCUCGUGUCGUGAAAUGUUGGGUUAAGUCCCGCAACGAGCGCAACCCUUGUCCUUACUUGCCAGCGCGUUAUGCCGGGAACUCUAAGGAGACUGCCGGUGAUAAACCGGAGGAAGGUGGGGACGACGUCAAGUCAUCAUGGCCCUUACGACAUGGGCUACACACGUGCUACAAUGGGAUAUACAAAGGGUUGCUAACCUGCGAAGGGAAGCUAAUCUCAUAAAGUCUGUCGUAGUCCGGAUCGGAGUCUGCAACUCGACUCCGUGAAGUUGGAAUCGCUAGUAAUCGUGAAUCAGAAUGCCACGGUGAAUACGUUCCCGGGCCUUGUACACACCGCCCGUCACACCAUGGGAGUGGGCUGC